UGAUGGAGCCAACUAAAUUUCAUUAGUGUCUGGGCGCUAAGAAAAAUGUAGUAAUACCAUAAUGACACACUACUACCAAGAGUACAGACAAAUGGCCGUGCCAGCAGUUGCGGUAAAACGGCUUGUACAAACGUUAAUCCUCUUUAAUAGGCAUAAAGGGUUCGUAGGCAGCUUUCUCAUUAGAAAGAUUGAAUCUGAUAGAGGAUAUAUACAACACUAGGUUGAGGGCCUAUAUCCUUAGACUACUAGGUGAGUGUUCAAAGCGAAGGCAGUUAUCCCUGUAAGAUUGACGCUGAGGAACUAAGGUUUGGAAAGGAAACAGGAUGUGCGACUUGAAAGCUUAAAUAUGGUUUUAUACCUUUUGGUAUUUUAUCUUUCGUUUGAUAAUAGUCUACCUAAAUAAGCAUUAAUAGUAAUAUUUUUGUUUAAAGCUUUAGGUGAAAGUUAAUUUUUGGUUAUCUACCUUAACUUUUUUUUUUAACUUUUUAUGUUAGCAGUAAUUUAAUUUAAAAGUAUGAAGUUAAUUAACAAAGACUGAUUUUUAUGGUUAAUUAAAUUGAACUUAUGUUAUAAAACGUAUUAAAUAGACAACUUAAUGUCCUGGUGAGUUGUAAACGAACUUUUUGUUUAAUAUUGUAAAGUAAGAACCUAAAAAAAUAUCUUAUACAUAUUUAAGAACAAGGAAAUACCUAUAACUUGCAAUUAUAAUAUAUUCAUAAUGGCUAGUAAGUUCGUGAGAACUUUGAUAUAGUUAGAGGUAGAAUGAUGAGAAAAAAGCAAAUGCUAAUUUUUAAUAAAUUAGAUAGGUUCACUUUGUAUUACUCUUUAUUUACACAAAGUUUUAACUAAUCUGAAAGGAUGCUUACUUUCUAUUGGUGUGAUUUUUAUUAACCGUAUGGAAUAAGAAUUGUAUUCCUUAAUUCUAAAAUUUAAAAUGGCAAAUUUAUUACCAAAUACGAGGAAUAAUAAGUUAAGUUAAAAAAAAAAAGAUAUGGCGUAAAUUCCGAUUCUAAGUAAAAUAAGUGUUGUGGUUAUAAUUAUAGAAGGUCUAAUUUGCUUAGCUAGUAACGGAUACUAAAAUUUAACUACAAAAAUCAUGCUUGAGCCGUAUGCGAUGAAAGUCGCUUGUACGGUUCUGAGGAGGGGAAAACUUGUGAGAGUCUACCUAUUCCAAAUAGAGACCCAGGUACUCCUUACAUUCAACGAUGAAUGCUAGAUGUUAGUUUUUUAAUUAGCGUCGAUGUGAAAAUGACGUUAAGCAUUCCGCCUUGACAGUAUACUUGCAAAAGUGAAAUCAAAAAAAUUAGUCGGUUUCGAAGCAAACGAAGUGAAGCAUGU
rnacentral:rRNA from 1 species